UCCGCCAGUAAAGACCGCUUGGCGGCGUGCUACACAUGCAUGUCGAGCGGAGAUUGCAGCAAUGUAAUCUUAGCGGCGGACGGGUAAGUACCUUGGCAACCUGCCUCAUACAGUGUGGAUAACACUGGGAAACUAGUGCUAAUACCGCAUAAUAUCAUUGGGUGGCAUCACCUGGUGAUCAAAGGAGCAAUCCGGUGUGAGAUGGGCCCGCGUCCGAUUAGCUAGUUUGUGGUGUAGCGGACCACCAAGGCGACGAUCGGUAGCCGAACUGAGAGGUUGAUCGGCCACAUUGGGACUGAGACACGGCCCAGGCUCCUACGGGAGGCAGCAGUGGGGAAUAUUGCACAAUGGAGGAAACUCUGAUGCAGCAACGCCGCGUGAAGGAUGAAGGUUUUCGGAUUGUAAACUUCUUUGAUGAGGGACGAAUAAUGACGGUACCUCAAAAACAAGCCACGGCUAACUACGUGCCAGCAGCCGCGGUAAUACGUAGGUUGCGAGCGUUGUCCGGAAUUACUGGGUGUAAAGGGCGUGUAGGCGGGAUCAUAAGUCAGAUGUGAAAUUCCAUGGCUUAACUGUGGGGCUGCAUCUGAAA
rnacentral:rRNA from 1 species